rnacentral:lncRNA from 1 species
CGCAGGGAUGGGGUGGGGUGACGGUGGGGGGUUGUGGAUGGGGUCUGAGCCCACACAGACCUAAGGAACCUGAAGGGUUCCUCACCUUUCAUUCCCCGCACUCUUGGAAGGAGAAUCCGCCUUCAGGGAGUGCAAGGAAUUCCUGCCAAAGGCUUCCGAAUUCUUUCCUGCUCUGCCCGAAGCCCAUUUGUCUUCCACCCUGCAUGCAGAGGCAGCGGGUCUCCAUUUCCAUCAGGCUGGGAUGAAGGCCCCUCUUCUCUCUGAACACACCAGACUGUGGUGCUGCAGCGGACCUUGGGGACCUCAGGGGCAGAACUGAGACGGAGCAGUGGAAUGACGGGCAAAAUAACAGAGAGGCUCCAUUUGAGGAGAGCACAAAGAUCUCUGGCCAGCAAGAUAAGACAAGGUGUGAGCCCUGUAAGUAACAUAUGGCAGAAAUCUAGGCUAAGCCGUGAAAGUCCUGUGGUUAAGGAUAAAUUUGUAGCAGUGGUGUUGCUUGAGUUGGACACAGACUAGAAAUCCUUCAAAAGACAAGCGAGACCUGCUUACUAAUAAGUAAGUAUAGUAGCCAAGAUAUGGAGUCACUGGAGACUCCAGUGAUGGGUAAAAACAAUGUGGUAGUCCACAAGAUGGAGUAUUAUUCAGCUGUGAAAGGUUAGAAUCCUGGCACUUGAAGCAACAUAAAUGGAGUAAAAAGAGCCAAGCACAGAAAGACAAAUAUUUCAUGUUCUUAUGUGUUUUUGGAAUAUUUUUAGCUUCCAUCUUUCUUUUUACUUUUAAUUUUGAGACAGGGACUCUCUAA